rnacentral:rRNA from 1 species
GACGAACGCUGGCGGCGUGCUUAACACAUGCAAGUCGAACGGAAAGGCCCUGCUUUUGUGGGGUGCUCGAGUGGCGAACGGGUGAGUAACGCGUGAGUAACCUGCCCUUGACUUUGGGAUAACUUCAGGAAACUGGGGCUAAUACCGGAUAGGAGCUCCUGCUGCAUGGUGGGGGUUGGAAAGUUUCGGCGGUUGGGGAUGGACUCGCGGCUUAUCAGCUUGUUGGUGGGGUAGUGGCUUACCAAGGCUUUGACGGGUAGCCGGCCUGAGAGGGUGACCGGCCAAAUUGGGCUGUGGAAACGGCCAAGAUCCCUAGGGGGGGCAGGGGGGGGGAAAUUUGAAAAAGGGGGGGAGGCCUGAGGCAGCAAGGCCGGGUGGGGGAUGGGGGCCUUGGGGUGUUAAACCGCUUUCGCUGGUAACGAAGGGGGAUGGACGGUAAUGGUAAAAGAAGCAAGGCCGAACAACG